rnacentral:rRNA from 1 species
AUUGAACGCUGGCGGAAUGCUUUACACAUGCAAGUCGAACGGCAGCACGGAGAGCUUGCUCUCUGGUGGCGAGUGGCGAACGGGUGAGUAAUAUAUCGGAACGUGUCCAAUAAUGGGGGAUAACGAGUCGAAAGAUUCGCUAAUACCGCAUACGCCCUACGGGGGAAAGCAGGGGAUCGUAAGACCUUGCGUUAAUGGAGCGGCCGAUAUCUGAUUAGCUAGUUGGUGAGGUAAAGGCUCACCAAGGCGACGAUCAGUAGCUGGUUUGAGAGAACGACCAGCCACACUGGAACUGAGACACGGUCCAGGCUCCUACGGGAGGCAGCAGUGGGGAAUUUUGGACAAUGGGAGCAACCCUGAUCCAGCCAUUCCGCGUGAGUGAAGAAGGCCUUCGGGUUGUAAAGCUCUUUCGCAAGGGAAGAAAACUUAUGAUCGAAUAAAUCAUGAGGUUGACGGUACCUUGAUAAGAAGCACCGGCUAACUACGUGCCAGCAGCCGCGGUAA